rnacentral:rRNA from 1 species
AAGCUGGUCUCUAUGAGUUCCGGCAUUGUAAUGGGAACAACUUAAACCAUUUAUCGAGGAUCUAUUGGAGGGCAAGUCUGGUGCCAGCAGCCGCGGUAAUUCCAGCUCCAAUAGCGUAUAUUAAAGUUGUUGCGGUUAAAAAGCUCGUAGUUGGAUCUACGACCAAGUCCUGUGGUCAUUCUACUUGAAUGUACUGCACGGACUGGUCCAAAUAUCUAGUAUUCUAUUGAUGCUCUUCACUGAGUGUCUCUAGUUGCUGGAACUUUUACCUUGAAAAAAUUGAAGUGCUCAAAGCAGGCAAACGCCUGAACAUUGCUGCAUGGGAUAAUAGAAUAGGACUUCGGUUCUAUUUUGUUGGUUUCGGAACGCGAAGUAAUGAUUAAUAGGGACAGACGGGGGCAUUCGUAUUGCUGCGUUAGAGGUGAAAUUCUUGGAUCGUAGCAAGACGAACUACUGCGAAAGCAUUUGCCAAGAAUGUUUUCAUUAAUCAA